GGAUCGGGAUCUAAUCUACUGUACGAAUUUUGGAGCAGUCUCAGAUCAUCAUAUUUUCAUCUCAAAUUUAUUUUAGGGUCUGUGAUGCAAUCAGAGAGAGAGAAUGACCCUAGAGAGACAAAAUUCAUAAUGAGAGAGAAAGGUCUAGAGAGAGAAAAUAGAGAGAGAAUCUAGAGAGAGAAAAUAUAGAGAGAAGGUAGAG
rnacentral:lncRNA from 1 species